GACGAACGCUGGCGGCGUGCUUAACACAUGCAAGUCGAACGGAAAGGCCCUGCUUUUGUGGGGUGCUCGAGUGGCGAACGGGUGAGUAACACGUGAGUAACCUGCCCUUGACUUUGGGAUAACUUCAGGAAACUGGGGCUAAUACCGGAUAGGAGCUCCUGCUGCAUGGUGGGGGUUGGAAAGUUUCGGCGGUUGGGGAUGGACUCGCGGCCUAUCAGCUUGUUGGUGGGGUAGUGGCUUACCAAGGCUUUGACGGGUAGCCGGCCUGAGAGGGUGACCGGCCACAUUGGGACUGAGAUACGGCCCAGACUCCUACGGGAGGCAGCAGCGGGGAAUAUUGCACAAUGGGCGGAAGCCUGAUGCAGCAACGCCGCGUGCGGGAUGACGGCCUUCGGGUUGUAAACCGCUUUCGCCUGUGACGAAGCGUGAGUGACGGUAAUGGGUAAAGAAGCACCGGCUAACUACGUG
rnacentral:rRNA from 1 species